AUUGAACGCUGGCGGCAGGCCUAACACAUGCAAGUCGAGCGGUAAGGCCCUUUCGGGGGUACACGAGCGGCGAACGGGUGAGUAACACGUGGGUGACCUGCCCUCAGCUCUGGGAUAAGCCUGGGAAACCGGGUCUAAUACUGGAUAUGACUCCAUGACGCAUGUUGUGGGGUGGAAAGCCUUGUGCGGCUGAGGAUGGGCCCGCGGCCUAUCAGCUUGUUGGUGGGGUGAUGGCCUACCAAGGCGA
rnacentral:rRNA from 1 species